ensembl:lncRNA
CAGACAUUUGCAUAGACCCUACAUAUAACAGCUUGAGAACCAAACUGUCCCAGACCAAACUCCUCUCGGCUCCAAAUCCACUGCCCUCCCGGUCCUACCCUCCCCGAGCGUCCCGAAGCUCCUUCUGCACACACCUGAUGGAGAAGAGCAAAACAUGGUGGGUUCGUUUGGACAGGAAAGCAGAGCUCACAUACGGAGAAAACACAUCGCAUCCCAUCAGACCUCCCAUUCAAAAAGGGCAGACGGGGUUUUAGGGGAAUCAGUCCCACACCCCCACACAACGGAACCUCUUCUUCUACCCUCUGCCCGCAGCAGACACGGCUUUUUAGGUAGAGAACCGUCGUCUGCUGAUGGAAACGUGAGGUUUCUUAACCUGGGGUUAUUCUUGAGGGGCGGCUGGGAUGUAUCUGAAUGGGAUAUUGCCCCUCAAAAGAAAACACAAUCACUCUUAUUUAUUCCUAUUUCCCCCCUCCUCCCUUCUAAGCUGUUCGAGGCCACCCCGAGGUGGGGGGAGAUGCGGCCUGCUCGAGCCCAGCGUGCUGCUGGCACCGGAGGGGGCAAAAAAGGGGGCUUUUCCUACCUCUUUUGCUACACCGUCAUCAAAGAAGCACAGACACUCUCCAUCAGCAGAGCUGCUGCAAAGCAAGGUCCUUUGGGAGGGGCGGGGGAGUGGGGAGCGCGAUGAGAUUCGGGGCUAUGGCGGAUGAUAACACACUUUUGGCUGCGAAUUGAGACAGCAAAAGUCUCCAAAAGGGGAAUUGGGAUUUUCCCCGCGGGGUUUCCUAAGGCGGCGUGGGAGCCUUUUCCUUCUCCUUGCGACAGCGGAGUUGGGGACAGCACUGUCAGCCGCACCGAAGCACGGACAGCACAGCCCCCACCUCCCCCCCCGCAGGGAUGCAGUGGGACGCGUACACCUCACGUAGAGAUUAUGCCAUAUACACCGGAGAUACGCACGGGCUUUGUCUCCUUCCUCUUCCUACAGACACUGACACCCCCCCACCCUCCCGUAAAACCUCCUCACAUUGGCAAAAACAGCAAAACCCGCAUCUGGGGAACACCGUAUGCCGAGAAAAAACCCCAUCUCCCAAGCAGGUGGGGGGUCCCGUGCUUUAAGACGCCCCCCUCCCCCACCAGCUCGCUAUUUGUUGUCUCAUUUUCCAUUUGAAUGAAUUUAUUCAUUUAUUAAUUGUUGCUCUUCUCCCACCCAAUAACCCCCAAAUCGGGGCGGAUUUCCACCCUCCCCGCGGUCUCAUCGCCC